rnacentral:tRNA from 1 species
UUAUGCAGCUCAGUGGUAGGGUACUUGCCUAGUAUGCAUGAAGCCCUGGGUUCAAUUCCUGGUACAAAAA